rnacentral:rRNA from 1 species
GACGAACGCUGGCGGCGUGCUUAACACAUGCAAGUCGAACGGAAAGGCCCUGCUUUUGUGGGGUGCUCGAGUGGCGAACGGGUGAGUAACACGUGAGUAACCUGCCCUUGACUUUGGGAUAACUUCAGGAAACUGGGGCUAAUACCGGAUAGGAGCUCCUGCUGCAUGGUGGGGGUUGGAAAGUUUCGGCGGUUGGGGAUGGACUCGCGGCUUAUCAGCUUGUUGGUGGGGUAGUGGCUUACCAAGGCUUUGACGGGUAGCCGGCCUGAGAGGGUGACCGGCCACAUUGGGACUGAGAUACGGCCCAGACUCCUACGGGAGGCAGCAGUGGGGAAUAUUGCACAAUGGGCGGAAGCCUGAUGCAGCAACGCCGCGUGCGGGAUGACGGCCUUCGGGUUGUAAACCGCUUUCGCCUGUGACGAAGCGUGAGUGACGGUAAUGGGUAAAGAAGCACCGGCUAACUACGUGCCAGCAGCCGCGGUGAUACGUAGGGUGCGAGCGUUGUCCGGAUUUAUUGGGCGUAAAGGGCUCGUAGGUGGUUGAUCGCGUCGGAAGUGUAAUCUUGGGGCUUAACCCUGAGCGUGCUUUCGAUACGGGUUGACUUGAGGAAGGUAGGGGAGAAUGGAAUUCCUGGUGGAGCGGUGGAAUGCGCAGAUAUCAGGAGGAACACCAGUGGCGAAGGCGGUUCUCUGGGCCUUUCCUGACGCUGAGGAGCGAAAGCGUGGGGAGCGAACAGGCUUAGAUACCCUGGUAGUCCACGCUGUAAACGGUGGGUACUAGGUGUGGGGUCCAUUCCACGGGUUCCGUGCCGUAGCUAACGCUUUAAGUACCCCGCCUGGGGAGUACGGCCGCAAGGCUAAAACUCAAAGGAAUUGACGGGGCCCCGCACAAGCGGCGGAGCAUGCGGAUUAAUUCGAUGCAACGCGUAGAACCUUACCUGGGUUUGACAUGGAUCGGGAGUGCUCAGAGAUGGGUGUGCCUCUUUUGGGGUCGGUUCACAGGUGGUGCAUGGCUGUCGUCAGCUCGUGUCGUGAGAUGUUGGGUUAAGUCCCGCAACGAGUGCAACCCUUGUUCACUGUUGCCAGCACGUUAUGGUGGGGACUCAGUGGAGACCGCCGGGGUCAACUCGGAGGAAGGUGGGGAUGACGUCAAGUCAUCAUGCCCCUUAUGUCCAGGGCUUCACGCAUGCUACAAUGGCUGGUACAGAGAGUGGCGAGCCUGUGAGGGUGAGCGAAUCUCGGAAAGCCGGUCUCAGUUCGGAUUGGGGUCUGCAACUCGACCUCAUGAAGUCGGAGUCGCUAGUAAUCGCAGAUCAGCAACGCUGCGGUGAAUACGUUCCCGGGGCU